AUCAACUUUCGAUGGUAGGAUAGAGGCCUACCAUGGUGGUAACGGGUAACGGGGUGUUAGGGCACGACACCGGAGAGGGAGCCUGAGAAACGGCUACCACAUCCAAGGAUGGCAGCAGGCGCGCAAAUUACCCAAUCCCGACACGGGGAGGUAGUGACAAUAAAUAACAAUACGGGGUUCUUUAGGAUCUCGUAAUUGGAAUGAGUACAAUUUAAAUCUCUUAACGAGGAACAAUUGGAGGGCAAGUCUGGUGCCAGCAGCCGCGGUAAUUCCAGCUCCAAUAGCGUAUAUUAAAGUUGUUGCAGUUAAAAAGCUCGUAGUUGAAUUUCGGGGUUAGUAGGUUGGUCAUGCCUCUGGUAUGUACUGGUUUCACUGAUUCCUCCUUCCUUAUGAACCGUAAUGCCAUUAAUUUGGUGUUGCGGGGAAUUUGGACUGUUACUUUGAAAAAAUUAGAGUGUUUAAAGCAAGCUAACGCUUGAAUACAUUAGCAUGGAAUAAUGAAAUAGGACGUUCGAUCUUAUUUUGUUGGUUUCUAGGAUUGACGUAAUGAUUAAUAGGGAUAGUUGGGGGCAUUAGUAUUCAAUUGUCAGAGGUGAAAUUCUUGGAUUUAUUGAAGACUAACUACUGCGAAAGCAUUUGCCAAGGAUGUUUUCAUUAAUCAAGAACGAAAGUUAGGGGAUCGAAGACGAUCAGAUACCGUCGUAGUCUUAACCAUAAACUAUGCCGACUAGGGAUCGGAUGAUGUUAAUUUUUUAAUGACUCAUUCGGCGCCUUACGGGAAACCAAAGUGUUUGGGUUC
rnacentral:rRNA from 1 species